rnacentral:misc_RNA from 1 species
AAGUCGUAACAAGGUUUCCGUAGGUGAACCUGCGGAAGGAUCAUUAAUGGAGAUGUGCCCACCCACACCACACCUUGGCUGGUCUUGGCUAGUCUGAGUGUGAGUGUGUGUGCAAGCAAUCGCCCAUCCUGUGUUGUGUGCGUAUAUGUGUAUGUGUAUGUGCUUCAGUACAUGCAUGUGCUUUGUUAACCCAUAUAUGUUGAUUCUGAUACAAUAGCUCGCAAGCCCAGCAAUGGGUAGCGGCACAACAAUCGAAAACUGCCACCAAUGGAUCACUUGGUUCUC